CGCGCCGCCCUCCACUCCACAUCUCCAGGCUCCAGCGAUGUCAUCCCUGACCUCCUGACAUUUCCCGUAACUCCCCAGAUUAUUUAGCACACAAAUCAACUGGAUCGCAUCUGCAUCGGCCUGGUUCGCCGCCGCCGGCAAGAGCACAAGGCUGCACGGCUACAUCUCGCGGGGAAAUACGGAGGUCCCUUUGCUGAUUCGCCUCCGGAUCUCAAGAUCCCCAAACUCCUCGGUGGCACCAAUUCCCAGAAAGAGCGGUGAGAAUGUGGAUGAAAAUUCAAGAAGAGUCCAAAAAACAAAUGUCUUAGAACAAGACUCCAAGCCAUGUGUCCUCAAAGAAGAGAUGUCGUCCUUCGGAACAGAUUGAGAAGAUCAGUGGUUGAGACUGAGUUGAUAUUGAUGCUUUGUCUAACAAUGGAGUGAAGAUAGAACAUAUGUAGGACUGGUGUGAGAAAUAUCGAAGGGUGGAUUGGAGAAACCAUGAUUGUUGUUUCUGCAUAGUCAAGAUGAUUAAGUAUUUCAUGUAUUCUAGGUUAGCUUAAUAUGUUGAGAAACGUAGUAGUUUUUCUUAAAUAUGUAACGUCUUUGUGUUCAUUGUUAUGAAUGCUAUGAAGUGACAUGAAACACGUUGGUUUAUCUCCAUAAUGUAGUUCAUAUGCACAUGUUGCUCAA